rnacentral:rRNA from 1 species
UACAGGGGGGGCAAGCGUUGUUCGGAAUUACUGGGCGUAAAGGGCCAGUAGGCGGCCAACUAAGUCCGACGUGAAAUCCCCAGGCUUAACCUGGGAACUGCGUCGGAUACUGGAUGGCUUGAAUUCGGGAGAGGGAUGCAGAAUUCCAGGUGUAGCGGUGAAAUGCGUAGAUAUCAGGAGGAACACCGGUGGCGAAGGCGGGUCUCUGGGCCGAUACUGACGCUGAGGAGCGAAAGCGUGGGGAGCGAACAGG